CUGUCGAGGUGAUUAUUGAUUUCCCAAGGUUCAAGAUCGGUUCAUGAUAAAACACAUUGGUUCCUUCAUUCUUGCUCUCCAUCGCUCCUCCAUCUUAGUACCAAAAUACACUAGUUCAUUUGACUUGUAGAGCAAGAUCCAUCUUGUCUCAGCCUGACUCAAAGGUCGCUCUCUGGAUUUCUCUUCAAAAUAGUCGGCCGGUUGUCGUUGUCUAUCUGUGGAUUUCUUUUCUGAAAUCGACUUCGGCUUUCUCCAUCUCUCUCACACUCUCCCCUGUACCAGGUUCAAUCUCUCGAUUUCUCUUUUUGGUAAUCGAUUGAUUAUCUCAUCUAUCUGUGGAUUUCUCCUUUUCUGAUUUGAAUGACGAUAGGUUUGACCUAAUUUUUCUCACUUUGUAGUGUGUACCAUUAUGGAAGCUUACUUCCUGAUAUGUAUUAUAUGUUUAGAUAUUGUAAUAGAACCUUCUUCACGUUAAUUGUGUAUUUGUGUUAUAGAUUAACAAUUUCCUUCCACAGGUUUUCGGUUUGAAAGUGAAAAGUCUGUUGAAAUGGUUCUUAUGAACAUGGAACCUGUCGAAAUGGUUCAUAUGAACAUGGAACCUGUUGAAAUGGUUCUUCUUAAUCGAAGUGAUGUGGUGUCAGAAUACUAGAUUUCUAUUGAUAUCCCAUUUAUUUACUACAUAAUGGAAUUAAUUGGCUUGCUCUUGCAGGUUGAUCUUGCUCAUUUGUUAGAUGCUCAUGAUCAGGACCUACUAACACUUUCAGCCAAGAUAUUCACACGUUGAUGGAUAUACAUUAGAGGUCAAAGUGUCUUCAUUCAAAAAGGAGGGAUGGACUUAAGUUCAACUGACUCUCAUUCUCCAAGGUGACGAUUCAUCAGAUUUGCUUCAUCUCAGACAACAAUUCUUGAGUAGCAGGUACAACUUUUAUGUAAUAAUGCAACAGGUCUUUUGAAAGGACAAGCAUGCUUCCCAUCAUAGUUGAAGUUAGAAUAUGUAUUUCUUUUGGUUUACAGAGUUUAAAUUGCACUGAACAUAUGGUUGGUGUUAGUAAGCCAAAGAAGGUUCGGAUAUACUGCCAGUUUCCACCGUUGUUGCAACGUUGAUGAAAGAAAAUAACCUUUCUCGCUGUCAAUGUUAUAGAUCAUAACACUUUUGUUAUUCAACUAAAUGUUUUGUAGAUUGAGUAAAGAGUUAGUCUCCAAUAUGUAAGUUACUGCAUUCUCUUUUUAUAUAU